rnacentral:rRNA from 1 species
UUUUUAAUAUGUUUUUUGCUCCACGCGAGAAACAUGCAUACGUGCGCGGAAUAUAUUGAGCGCGGUUCCUUAUUCUCGACGUUUUCGGCAAGUUUUAGCUUGCGGGUCAUUAUCCACGCGUGUAGGGCGUCCUUGCGGUGGAAAAGCGGUCGGGUACCGAAAGGGGUCGAGACCGCGGUAAACCUCUAGUUGGUGCGGUAGAGAGGGAGGGGUGGAGACCGUGGUAAACACGACACGUGUAAGUUGUUGAGCGGGAGAGUAAGUGGUACGGUGCAGUAUUCGUUAUUAGGAAGCGUUGUCAAAGAGUGCUCGAUCGUGUUUGUGGUGGAGCCGGGAGGCGGGAGCAUAAUGGACGAAGGCGGGGAAACAUGUCGAAUGCGAUGAUACCAGCACUAAAGCACCGGAUCCGUCCUCGUGUUGCACUUCCC